AAGGGUAGUCAUGUAUCUCUAUUUUUGCAUUUGGCCAGCCCCCUCCCUGAGGGCUCUGAACUAUUUGUGGAAUAUAAAUUUUGCAUCUUGGAUCAAAUUCAUGAUGAGAAUUACUCUUUAAGCGGUAAGACCUGGUUCAAAGGAAGUACGAGUUGGGGUUGGCGUAAAUUCAUAGACCAAGAAACUUUCAGGCAGGUAGACAAGGGGUUUUUGAAGGAUGAUGCUUGCAUAGUGCAAGCAGAGGUGACCGUCUGUGGAAUUUCUAAAGCACUAUAGUAAACUUCUCCCAACUAAUGUAUUGAAAUAAGCUCCCACAGCCAAGAAGUUUUGAAGAAAACCCGGUCCUGCGACGUCGUUUUGGGGAGCAGCCUCGAGUGGCUGAAUUACACUCUGCUCCCUGUACGUUGGGUCAUUUUCAGUUUAGCCCAACUGGUUACUGGCCCUAUAUCAUAUUUCUGAAUCAUGGGAUUCAGUAUUUCAACUAUUGCUUGGUAAUCGUUAGCUUAAAUGUGAAUGUGUACUAAAUGCUUACUUUCGUCGAAACUUGUCACGGUUGCAAAUACUAUAUUCGUAUCAUGCCUUUUUGCCGAAAUUUGGAGCGUGUAAUGUUUAAACCUUUCUUUAUGCAAGCAACUAGUAUUCCAACCUAAAAACUAUCCCAAUUUGAUCGAAGGACAGUAAAAAUAAAAAGAAUAGUAUUAUAUAAGAGCAGGGGACUUGAUACCUAUUAGGAAUCAUAUCUCUAUAUGUAAUAGGAAACCUAUUAGUUCCAUAAACUUGAUAGGAUAAGUGGAAUAAACAGUGAAUUCUUUUACGAGUUUCAACUUCUCACAUUCUCCCGCUCAGGAUUUUCCUUUAGACGAGAAAAAAAAUUAGGUGAUUACUUUCGCAGCGACGACAACUGAGAGUGGGUAGUCUCAUCUUGUUCAGGUCAGUAAGGUCAGGAGAAAACCUUGCUCAGGAGAGGAUCCACGUCCCUCUUCUUUUCCCUCUCUAAGUAUAAGAUAUAUUAAGUUAGGAUUGAGCUGAAGCUCCCAUGGCCAACCUUAACUUGGAAAAAGAUGGUUCAGGGGUUUUGAGGUCAUAUUCAGAUUCACCACCAACUCAUUACUCUGUUGAAAUACAAUUCUUUUCAUUGCUGGCUGAAAAGUAUUCAGAGGAUGGAUAUGAAUCAAAGAAGUUUGAAGCAGGAUGAUA